UACGGUAGGGGGCAAGCGUUGUCCGGAAUCAUUGGGCGUAAAGAGCGUGUAGGCGGCCCGAUAAGUCCGCUGUGAAAGUCCAGGGCUCAACCCUGGAAUGCCGGUGGAUACUGUCGGGCUCGAAUCCGGAAGAGGUGAGUGGAAUUCCUGGUGUAGCGGUGAAAUGCGCAGAUAUCAGGAGGAACACCAAUGGCGAAGGCAGCUCACUGGGACGGUAUUGACGCUGAGACGCGAAAGCGUGGGGAGCAAACAGG
rnacentral:rRNA from 1 species